ACGGGAGGCAGCAGUGAGGAAUAUUGGUCAAUGGGCGGAAGCCUGAACCAGCCAAGUAGCGUGCAGGAAGACGGCCCUAUGGGUUGUAAACUGCUUUUGUCAGGGAAUAAAAAGGAUUACGUGUAAUCCAUUGCAUGUACCUGAAGAAUAAGGACCGGCUAAUUCCGUGCCAGCAGCCGCGGUAAUACGGAAGGUCCGGGCGUUAUCCGGAUUUAUUGGGUUUAAAGGGAGCGCAGGCGGCGAUUUAAGCGUGUUGUGAAAUGUAGGAGCUCAACUUCUGCACUGCAGCGCGAACUGGAUUGCUUGAGUACGCGGGAAGUAGGCGGAAUUCGUCGUGUAGCGGUGAAAUGCUUAGAUAUGACGAAGAACUCCGAUUGCGAAGGCAGCCUACUGUAGCGUUACUGACGCUAAAGCUCGAAAGUGUGGGUAUCGAACAGGAUUAGAUACCCUGGUA
rnacentral:rRNA from 1 species